rnacentral:rRNA from 1 species
UACGUAGGGGACAAGCGUUGUCCGGAAUCAUUGGGCGUAAAGAGCGUGUAGGCGGCCCGAUAAGUCCGCUGUGAAAGUCCAGGGCUCAACCCUGGGAUGCCGGUGGAUACUGUCGGGCUCGAGUCCGGAAGAGGAGUGUGGAAUUCCUGGUGUAGCGGUGAAAUGCGCAGAUAUCAGGAGGAACACCAAUGGCGAAGGCAGCACUCUGGGACGUGACUGACGCUGAGACGCGAAAGCGUGGGGAGCAAACAGG